UGCCAGCCGCCGCGGUAAUACGGAGGGUGCAAGCGUUAAUCGGAAUCACUGGGCGUAAAGGGCGCGUAGGCGGUUCGAUCAGUCGGGUGUGAAAGCCCCGGGCUCAACCCGGGAACUGCAUUCGAUACUGUCGAGCUUGAGUGUGGUAGUGGGAAGCGGAAUUCCCGGUGUAGCGGUGAAAUGCGUAGAUAUCGGGAAGAACACCAGUGGCGAAGGCGGCCUCCUGGACCAACACUGACGCUGAGGCGCGAAAGCGUGGGUAGCGAACGGGAUUAGAUA
rnacentral:rRNA from 1 species